GAAAAAUGAGGACAACUUUUAUAGCCUGAUGUUCUGUGACUGCUAAAGAUCCAACUCUGAUUUCACUCAGCAA